GUGACCAAGAUGUAUAUUCAUUUUAUUGUCACAGACUGAUCAAGUUGAUCAAACCCUGGCCAAGAAUUAAAUGUCCUCGGUUUGCUGGAGGCAAGCAUGUAUCUAGACUGAUCAUCACAGCAAGGCAGUUCUGGCCUCCUCUGUGUGAGCUGAAACCUUCAGAGCCUGGGAAAAGUUUCCUCUGAAGAUCAGGAGUGAUGAGGCCACUGCUCAGUUCUGUCAUGGCAGAGGGAUUCCUCACAAUCUAGCAUCCUAGGGUUAUACAUAGCUACCACCCCUGUGAGUCAACGAAACAGCAGUGGAUUAGGAAGUGACAGAACAAGAGUAAUGCUUACCUCCUAGAGGUGCCAGGAUGGAUUUGACCCAUAGAUUACAGUUUACAGACCACUGUUCUAGACGAUAAUGUGUCUCAAAACAUCCAACAUACAGUCCCAUGGACCCAGCAGUCCACUUCUGUGGAGCCGACUGUGUGAGCUGACAUAUAUCAGCCAUGUUAAUAGAGCAACAAAAAGAAGGAAGAAGAGGAGGAGGAAAUGGAAAGUUACUCCAAAGUACCUAUUUGCUGUAAAACAUUUAAAACUAUGAAGAAGACAGUGCGCUCAUUAGGGUUGGAACGCAAA